UUAUUAUUAUAUUCAGGCUGCCGUAAGUGAUAAGAAUAUCGUCAAACUUCCACAAAAAAAACUGAUUUGAACUUUGGCAAAAUUUGAAACCCCGUGACUAGAUGCUGUUCCGACCUAACCGCCAUUACGAUAAGACGUUCGAACACAUUCAGACCUAAGUUUUUGGAAUUCAUACCUCGGUAUCUUGGAUGAAAAGACAAUCGAGAUAAGUCUGAGUCCAAGUAAAAUAAUAAGAAGAAAGUAAGGAAGGAAGUGAUUAGAUGCUAGAGGAUGCCGACAAGGAUCAUUCCUGGAGGCAAAGACGUACCACAAGAUCCUUUUUCCGCCGUGUAGUAUUGACUCAAUCAUUUGAAUGUGACAAAACGUGAUUGGCCCCAAGAUACUGCGUGUCAAUGAGCACAAUAAAUGACCAUGAUAGAUGACAAGUGACAAGUUUACAGGACUGAUAUCAUGAUGCAGCAAUAAGAUUUGUCGAUGGGCAAACAUCCGCCUAAAUCUAUAUACAUACAUCAUACUAUGUAUAUACAUCAUUCGACUUUGCUUAAUAUCGCAGAACAUCGUCAGACUUCGUCGUAAAAUGAUAAGUAUAUAAUUAAAACACUGAUAAAGUGUUUGUAAUAUUUGUAGUGUACGUGUAGUCUCAAAUUAUUUACUUAUGAUGAAAGAAAUAUAAUUAUUAAUAUACUGA